rnacentral:lncRNA from 12 species
ACGUGAUGCAGGUGACAUUAAUGACACACAGUGACCCCGGUGUGACACAGGUGUGACACAGAUGACACACAGGCACGGCCUCCAGCACCUCCAGCGGCUGCGUGCCCGCCAGGCGCAGCGUGCGCUCCAGGAACUUGGGGUCCCUGCAAAAACGGGGUGCAGGGGGUCAGGGGGGUCACAGAGAGUCACAGCGUGCGCUCCAGGAACUUGGGGUCCCUGGGGGAAAAGGGGGUGCAGGGGGUUAUAGGGGUCACAGAGGGUUAUGGGGGCGCAGGGUCUGCUCCAGGAACUUGGGGUCCCUGGGGGAAACGGGGUGCAGGGGGUCAGGGGGGCCACAGAGAGUCACAGCGUGCGCUCCAGGAACUUGGGGUCCCUGGGGAGAAAUGGGGUGCAGGGAGCGUCACAGGGGUACAGGGACUGCUCCAGGAACUUGGGGUCCCUGGGGGAAAAGGGGGUGCAGGGGGUUAUAGGGGUCACAGAGGGUUAUGGGGGCGCAGGGUCUGCUCCAGGAACUUGGGGUCCCUGGGGGAAACGGGGUGCAGGGGGUCAGGGGGGCCACAGAGAGUCACAGCGUGCGCUCCAGGAACUUGGGGUCCCUGGGGAGAAAUGGGGUGCAGGGAGCGGGGAAAAGGGGGUGCAGGAGGUUAUGGGGGUCACAGAGGGUUAUGGGGGCGCAGCGUGCAAUGCAGGAACUUGGGGUCCCUGGGGGAAAUGGGGUGCGGGGGGGGGGGGGGGGGGGGGGGGGGGGGGGGGGGGGGGGGGGGGGGGGGGGGGGGGGGGGGGGGGG